rnacentral:rRNA from 1 species
AUUGAACGCUGGCGGCAGGCCUAACACAUGCAAGUCGAACGAGUGGCGGACGGGUGAGUAAUGUCUGGGAAACUGCCUGAUGGAGGGGGAUAACUACUGGAAACGGUAGCUAAUACCGCAUACCAUCAGAUGUGCCCAGAUGGGAUUAGCUGGUUGGUGGGGAAACGGCUCACCAAGGCGACGAUCCCUAGCUGGUCUGAGAGGAUGACCGGCCACACGGGAACUGUGACACGGCCCAGACUCCUAGGGGAGGCAGCAGUGGGGAAUAUUGAACAAUGGGCGAAAGCCUGAUCAAGCCAGGCCGCGUGGGUGAAGAAGGUCUUCGGAUUUUAAAGCACUUUAAGUUGGGAGGCGUUACCAACAGAAUAAGCACCGGCUAACUCCGUGCCAGAAGCCGCGGUAAUU